rnacentral:tmRNA from 1 species
GGGGGCGACCUGGCUUCGACGUGGGUCAAGAAGCAGUGCAGUGCAUACCGAGGACCAGUCACCUCGUAAAUCCAUCUGGAAUGCAAUAACUGCCAACGACGAGCGUUUCGCUCUAGCCGCUUAAUUGCGGCUGGCCUCUGCACCGGUUUGCUCACGGGCCGGGUAGCGCAAGCUACAGCAGAGUCAUUUACAUGAGAUAAGGGCCGCCUUCGCCGCGCGGGCAGCCACGAAAACCCAGCGGAUCGCCUGUAACCAGCCUGCCCGGCGGCGGGUUGCGGGUCAAAUCAAACGACGAGGCUAAGUAUGUAGGGCUGCCUGUGGAAGUCUUGCGGACGCGGGUUCAAUUCCCGCCGCCUCCACCA